UCCGAGUUGACCCCGGCAGUCUCCUAUGAGUCCCCACCAUUACGUGCUGGCAACAUAGGACGAGGGUUGCGCUCGUUGCGGGACUUAACCCAACAUCUCACGACACGAGCUGACGACAACCAUGCACCACCUGUGCACGGCCCUUACGGACCCCGCAUCUCUGCGAGAUUUCCGUGCAUGUCAAGCCUAGGUAAGGUUCUUCGCGUUGCAUCGAAUUAAGCAACAUGCUCCGCCGCUUGUGCGGGCCCCCGUCAAUUCCUUUGAGUUUUAAUCUUGCGACCGUAAUCCCCAGGCGGGAUACUUACUGCGUUAGCUGCGACACCGAGAGGGUAAGAACUCCCGACAUCUAGUAUCCAUCGUUUACGGCGUGGACUAC
rnacentral:misc_RNA from 1 species